AUGAACUUUAUGUAUGAACUUGUAUUAAUUUGGUCUAUUCGGUGUUGUGUAAUGAAGAUGAGUCGGCAAUGGAUGUACGAUGACCGAUGCUCUCCCCAGUUCGUUGAGGGCGUGCAUACUUUUCUGCUUGCGGCUGAGGCAAACAAGCGGGCGGAUGGUUUUAUGCCUUGUCCAUGUGCUGGCUGUAAGAAUGGUCGCAAUUACUCUACGUCAAGAACCAUUCACGUCCACCUGUUUGAGUCCGGUUUCAUGCCCCACUAUAAUGUUUGGACCAAGCACGGAGAAAGAGGUGUUAUGAUGGAAGACAAUGAAGAAGAAGAGGACGACGACAGCUAUCCUGGCCAUGGGUUCCCUGAAUACAAUGAUACAACAAUGGGGGAAGAAGCUGAGCCGGUAAUGCGGGAAGAAGUUGAGCCGGCAAUGCGGGAAGAAGCUGAAGAAGAGGCAUCAGAUGAGCCCGUUGAUGAUCUAGGUCGGGCCAUUGCCGAUGCAAAGAGAAACUGCACAAAUGAUUUGGAGAAGAAGAAGUUGCAGCGCAUGUUAGAGGAUCACAAAAAAUUGUUGUACCCGAAUUGCAUAGGUGACAAGAAAAAGCUGGGCACCACACUAGACUUGCUGCAACGGAAGGCAGAGAAUGGUGUAUCUAACAAGGGAUUUGGAAAGUUGCUGGUAAUGAUAAAGGAUAUGCUUCCAAAGGACAACGAAUUGCCCGAGAGUACGUACGAAGCAAAGAAGGUUGUCUGCCCUCUAGGGUUAGAGGUGCAGAAGAUACAUGCAUGCCCUAAUGAUUGCAUCCUCUACCGCGGUGAGUACGAGGAUUUGAACGCUUGCCCGGUAUGUGGUGCAUUGCGCUAUAAGAUAAGCCGCGAUGACCCUGGUGAUGUCGAGGGCGAGCGCCCCAGCAAGAAGAUUCCUGCCAAGGUGAUGUGGUAUUCUCCUAUAAUACCACGAUUGAAAUGUUUGUUCCAAAACAAAGAGCAUGCCAAGGCGAUGCAAUGGCAUAGAGAAGACCGUAAGAAAGACGGAAAGUUGAGAGUACCCGCUGACGGGUCGCAGUGGAGAAAAAUUGAAAGAAAGUACGGGAAGGAGUUUGCAGAUGACGCAAGGAGCGUAUGGUUUGGUCUAAGCGCAGAUGGCAUUAAUCCUUUUGGGGAGCAGAGCAACAACCAUAGCACCUGGCCUGUGACUAUGUUUGUAUAA
rnacentral:rRNA from 1 species